ensembl:lncRNA
CUUAGAGAGGCCCAGGCCUGUCCACUGUCACUUGUGCAGUGGGACUUACUGUGGGAGGCCACAAAGGCCGGCAUCUCACGCAUAUUACCCUGAGGCUGAGCCUCUCAGGAAUGAUGAUGAAGCAUCCUUGCAUUUCACCGAAAGGGGCAAAGGAGACGCCAGAGGUCAGGUAACUCAUCCAAGGCCGGAGGAAGUACUGGGGCCCGGCUUUGAACUCUGUGGUUCUAGACCCUCUCAGCCACGUGCUAUUGUACUGCCAACUGAUGCGCUGAACGCCGGUCCUUCAGCGGCUGGCAGAGACUGCGGCUGUGUUGAGAGGGCGGUUCGCUGGGUAGAGAUUAGGCAGAGUUAAAACGUGCUGGGAAGUAGUGGAUGCAGGUGGCCUGCACCACAUAGAACAGAAGCACUUUUGAAAGAGGCUUUGCGGGGCCCGGGUUCUCCCGCCCGCAGACCCCAGCAACCCCUCCCCACCGCGAGGAGCUCGCGUGAAUGUGGCUUCUUAUCACGGAUGGAUCGGACUCUUGGGCUGAUGUGAUCCCAGGAGAGGAGGCUUUGUGUCCAGCGGGCCACAGCCAAGCGUCCGCUGUCCCUUCCUGCCGUCCAUUCUCCCAGGGCCAAGCACGUGGACCUUGUUUCCCAGAGAGCCCUUCACGGAUGCUGUCACCGCAGAGUCACAGCAAGGCUUUCUGAGCCGCGUGUGGUUUGCCCUUUCGGGGGGGGGGGGCAGGUCGCCAUGGUUACUGCAGACGCGGCAGGGCCGUCUUGGGCACCGACCCCGCCCACACCCGCGGUUACGCCGGCACUAUUUUCCAUCCGCCCCCACCCCCACCCCAAACUCGCUGGAGCAUAACUUAGCUACUCAGAAGAGAAGAGUGUGCGUCACGUGGCAUCUUUUUGAGAGCCUGCGUUUGGAGUCCCUCAGUACCGCUGGCUGGGAGUCUGUGCUGCCUGCUUGAGGCAGUGGGUUCCAGCAGCCGGAGAGGUUGGCAGCUCAGUCAGGGAGCAGGGCUGGACCGCGAACCGCUCGUGCAGCCUCUGUCCCCGGGCUGCACGCGGAUGUCGGCUUCCUCACCCUCCGACUUCUCCUGUGGGCCGAAGCUCGCCAACUCGCCCACGGUGAUCGUCAUGGUGGGCCUCCCUGCCCGCGGCAAGACCUACAUCUCCAAGAAGCUGACCCGCUACCUCAACUGGAUCGGCGUCCCCACGAAAGUGUUCAACGUCGGGGAAUACCGGCGGGAGGCCGUCAAGCAGUACAGCUCCUACAAUUUCUUCCGGCCAGACAACGAGGAGGCCAUGAGAGUCCGCAAGCAGUGUGCGCUGGCUGCCCUGAGAGACGUGAAAAGUUACCUCACGAAGGAAGGGGGCCAAAUUGCGGUUUUUGAUGCCACCAACACUACUAGAGAGAGGAGACACAUGAUCCUUCACUUUGCCAAAGAAAAUGAUUUCAAGGUGUUUUUCAUUGAGUCUGUGUGCGAUGACCCUACAGUCGUGGCCUCAAACAUCAUGGAAGUGAAGCUCUCCAGCCCGGAUUACAAAGACUGCAACUCAGCAGAAGCUAUGGACGAUUUCAUGAAGAGAAUUAAUUGCUACGAAGCCAGCUACCAGCCCCUCGACCCUGACAAAUGUGACAGGGACCUGUCCCUGAUCAAGGUGAUCGACGUGGGCCGGCGGUUCCUGGUGAACAGGGUGCAGGACCAUAUCCAGAGCCGCAUCGUGUACUACCUGAUGAACAUCCACGUGCAGCCGCGCACCAUCUACCUGUGCCGGCACGGCGAGAGCGAGCACAACCUCCAGGGCAAGAUCGGAGGGGACUCGGGCCUGUCCAGCAGGGGCAGGAAGUUUGCCAGCGCCCUGAGCAAGUUCGUGGAGGAGCAGAACCUGAAGGACCUCAAGGUGUGGACCAGCCAGCUGAAGAGCACCAUCCAGACGGCCGAGGCCCUGCAGCUGCCCUACGAGCAGUGGAAGGCGCUCAACGAGAUCGACGCGGGCGUCUGUGAGGAGAUGACCUACGAGGAGAUCAGAGACACGUACCCCGAGGAGUACGCGCUGCGGGAGCAGGACAAGUACUACUACCGCUAUCCCACCGGGGAGUCCUACCAGGACCUGGUCCAGCGCUUGGAGCCGGUGAUCAUGGAGCUGGAGCGGCAGGAGAACGUGCUGGUUAUCUGCCACCAGGCUGUGCUGCGCUGCCUCCUGGCCUACUUCCUGGACAAGAGCGCAGAAGAGAUGCCAUACCUGAAGUGCCCCCUUCACGCCGUCCUGAAGCUGACGCCCGUCGCAUAUGGUUGCCGCGUAGAAUCCAUCUACCUGAAUGUGGAGUCGGUGAGCACACACCGGGAGAGGUCAGAGGAUGCAAAGAAGGGACCUAACCCGCUCAUGCGACGCAAUAGUGUCACCCCACUAGCCAGCCCCGAGCCCACCAAAAAGCCUCGCAUCAACAGCUUUGAGGAGCAUGUGGCUUCUACCUCCGCUGCCCUGCCCAACUGCCUACCCCCGGAGGCGCCCACGCAGCUGCCCGGACAAAACGUGAAAGGCUCCCCCAGCAGCGCGGACGCCUCCAGGACGCACUGACGCAGCCCCGCCGCUGUGCCUUCCACUCCUGCAGCUUUGCUCGAGCCCUUGCGCCUGCCCGAGGCCAGCGAUCCCGAAGACUUCGAUCCCGAAGACUUCUCCCCGGGCAGCGCGGAGGAGGCGCUGCUGCGCCCGCACCCGCCAGGCAGCGUCGGGCACCGCCCGCCCCCGCUGUGCUCCCCGCGCUUCCGGCUGUGUCCCCGCCCCUCGGACGGACGAUGCGCGGCGGAGGCGGAUUGUGGGCGCUUCGGUGCUGGGUGCUGGCUUGUUCAUCUCGUUUCUGUUCGUUCCCCGCUGGGGAGGUGGAAGUGGCCCCCGAGUCCUAACCUUGCAGGGGGCCUAGAUCCCAGCUGCAGAAGGUUGAGGGACGAUGAAAGCUUUCAAGAGGCUUUUGGUGCAUCUCAGCCUGGAGGUUGCCCGGGUUCCGGAAGAAGCUGGUCCCCGAGUUGGAGAGAGGAGCUGGGAGCUGGACCUGCGGUCAGUCGAGCAGCCGGUGUCACCCACCUUUCCAGGUCCGUGUCCUGACGCGGAAGAUGUGGGACAUUCUGGCUGUGGAGGCGGGAGGAAAUGCUUUGCGGAAAUGGCACAGGCCCUCCCUCCCAGGGGAGGCCCCCGCCUGGAUCUCGGUCUCCUGGCACACGGCUCCGCCCCGCACUUUCUUAGGGCAGAGCCCGCCGCCGCCGCAGAGUCACACCUGCUUCCGGAACUUAGAUGAUUGGGUCUGUGCCCUUGGGGCUGGUGCCCUGGAAGGAUGUGGGAGUCGUUGGGGACCUCAGAGAGACCCCCUCCUACAACGCCCAGAGAGCACGUGUUAGAGUCAUUGCAAGGCUGACCCGGCCGGUGGCGUGGGGGCUCGAGGCUCUGGUCUCCUGCUUCAGGGCGUCCCUGCAUCACCUCCCAGUGACAGUGGCUGGAGCCAGGCCUUGCUGACGGCCACUUCCUCCAAGAGACUGUCCUCUGGUCUCUCCAUCUGCGACGGGCACCUGCUGUAUGUCCUGCGUGGGGCUGGGCUCCUUGGAGGACUCUAGAGAAGAGAAUGUGCUUGCUUGCCUUUGUGGCCCCUGUGGCGUUUGGGGAAGAGGGGUUCAAGCAGAGCUUGUGGACUUGUGGUUCUAAACACCUGUAGUUUCUUCCUGCUGGUUUUCCCCUGUUGGCCCAGGAGAAACGAUUUGGACUCAGCAGCAGACGUUGUCCAAGUGACCCUUUUUCAGGAUCUCUAAAAGCGGUGCCAAAGGUCACCUCUUCUUCCUGCCUUCUCCUUUGGGGCCCCACGUCCCUCCGCCUCUUAGCUUGUGAACAGUCCUUGGGGGUGGAGGGGGACGUUUAGACAGCUGGAGCUGGGGGCGGAGAGGAGCCGUUUUUGUUUUUGUUUUGUUUGAAAGGAGCUUUUAGGAAACGCACGUGUCUGUUUGGGAUUCAGGGGGAAACGCGGGUGCGAGGCAUACGUCCUGUAACCAGGCUUCUGGGUUUCCCACCAAACCGCUCAAAUCCCCGCUUCUCUUCAUCCCUUCAUUGGCCAUCUGCCCAGGUGACACCUGUCUGUCCAUCCCUGGGCAAGACUCGGGUCACUCUCCCCCUUUCCCGCUGUCUGGUUAGGCACUGCGUGUGUGUGUGUGUCUAUGUGUGUGUUGGAUGUAUUUUCAGACGGAGGGGCCCGCAGCUCUUGAGGAGAGCUCUUGUCAUAUUCUCGUCAUUUGUCCCACUUUCUGGCUCCUCCUCUGGCCAUUGGCACCGACUCUGAACUUUGGCUCUUGAGGCUGAUCCAAGUGGGGGCCGAAUGAAGGUGGGUUCGCCCUCGCCUCUGAUGGCCCGCAUCCGUGCCCACACGGAGGAGGCCUGGUCUGACCCUGGUUUGGUUGGCAGGGACCUCGAUGGGGAGGGGAGACGCGGAGAGAGCAGAAGGCUGCAGACUGGAGCCAGGACGGGGCUUGGGAGGAGGGCGGUGUAGACCGGCGGGGGGUGUCUGAGCCGCGGUCGGUCGUGGGGCCUCUGCUGUGCUGGCCAUUGACUCUCACUCCCCUGACCCUCGUCAAAUGCUGGGACCGAUGUUACCUUUGCCUGUUUGUUUUGGGCGGGCUCACCGCCUUCCUUCCUCUGUCCUGAGACUGCGCGCCAAGACCUUCCUUUCGGGGGAAAAGAAAGACUGAACCACGCCAAGGACGUUUUCAUUUCUAAUACUUGAAGUUUAUUUUUUUAUUAUUUUGAUAGCAGAUAUGCUAUUUAUUUAUUUAAUAUGUAUAAGGGAUCCUGAAAACGGAAAGCUGUAUAGAUGGGGUUUCGUUGUGGGUUGGCUUGGGGGCCUUUUACAUGUGACUUCCGACUCUGUGUGUUCUGUAUAAAUUUGUCUGAAUUAAUUACCUGGGAUGAAGCUGUGCCAGCUUUCAAACAGGGGAUGCCUAUUGGAAAUUUGUAUAUUUUGCAGUUGCCAGAACAAUAAAAUUCCUGGUUGAAAUACA